rnacentral:rRNA from 1 species
UUGGCGUGCUUAACACAUGCAAGUCGAGCGCGGGAAGCAAGCAGAUCUCCUUCGGGGGUGACGCUUGUGGAACGAGCGGCGGACGGGUGAGUAACACGUGGGCAACCUACCUGUAAGACUGGGAUAACUCCGGGAAACCGGGGCUAAUACCGGAUGAUACAUAUCGUCGCAUGACGAGAUGUUGAAAGGCGGCAUAUGCUGUCACUUACAGAUGGGCCCGCGGCGCAUUAGCUAGUUGGUGAGAUAAAAGCUCACCAAGGCGACGAUGCGUAGCCGACCUGAGAGGGUGAUCGGCCACACUGGGACUGAGACACGGCCCAGACUCCUACGGGAGGCAGCAGUAGGGAAUCUUCCGCAAUGGACGAAAGUCUGACGGAGCAACGCCGCGUGAGUGAUGAAGGUUUUCGGAUCGUAAAACUCUGUUGUUAGGGAAGAACAAGUGCCAUCGAAUAGGUGGCUCUGAUCUUUCAAGCAG